AUAGCAAAUCGAUAUGGUCGUUCAUGAAUCGAUCCAUAAUUUUAAACACACAGAUCGAGCGUGUGGAUUUUUAUCAGUGUACAACAGGAUGAAAAGUAUGGAAAUUCGAAAGUAUUGAGGAUCCGUUGGCUGGCUCUUUGUCCAGUAGGGCGACCGGAUUGAUGACCCGCAGAGUGCCCGUGGCUUCUUUUUCGUCCGGGUCUUCCUUGCGUUUCAUCCAAGCUGUCUUUCAUCCUGAUGUACCACGAAAGGGCCUUCUUCUUUUUUCCGGAACGGGUCAAAUUCUUCCCCGGAGUGACAAGUGCUUGCUGAUGCGAUGAGUUAGCUGACCCUGUGUCCCAUGAGUACCAUCCUUUCGGGCAAUCCGAUCGUUGAUCAGCAGAUCAUCGUCGAAGAACAAUCUUCUUCCGUAUCCGGGCGGGCAUUCCGCCAGCAUUCAACGUCUGGAUCGGCUGCGUCGGACUUGUCUUCUCCGGUAACUUUGUCCCAAAGGGGUGUAGUCCCAGUGCUGCGGGGUCAAAUGCAGGAGGAGAAGAUCCGUCAAUGUCCAAUGGACCCAUCGUUGUCAUCAUCGGGUUCAUCACUGAUUUUGACCUCCGACACGUCGGCCGAUUGCUCCCGCCUCCGGUGUCGCCUUCCUCAUCCGACGCGGACAUUUUCCGUGAUUAUGGAUGUCUUUUAACGAUUGUUUACAACGGCUAUUGGGGUGAGUUGUUAACGAUCUAUUUUGCAAGCGGAUGGAUUUUGCUGAAUUUACCUGCGGUUCCAUUGCCGUAUCCACAAAUUACGUCCAUCGGAUGGAAGAACAAUUGAGAGAAGGAGGAUUUCGUGCGAAUCUUAUCAGCUGGGGAAUGAAACCUGAUACGAUGACCCACCCGAGAUCAAAUACAACAAACGACAGCUAUACAGAUCAACAACCCGAUCGAACGACCAGAUCGUUUCAACGGCUUCCUAAGGAGUAAGAACGCUAUGUCUACCUCAAUAUUUUCAGUGUUUUUAAGCCAAUGUUUCUUCUGGAAGCACUGUCAGAUGGUCUUUUUGAUGUAUCUUACCAUGUAAAAAAAUAACGAAUAAUACCAAAAAUAAUAAAAUGUGAUGAAUACAUUAUAUAACUCA